AAAAUUUUGGAGCUGUAGAUAAUUUAGUAAGAAUUUAAAUAAAUUUUGUUUUAUACAUUUUGAAAAAAUGUUUAUGGAUAUUAACUUUUAAAACAUUGAAGUGAUACGUCAAUGUUUCACUUGUCUAUGCACACUAAUGAUCAACUUCAAGAUAUAUAUACCUGGAACCAGGCUCAGUGACAUUGUGAAAAAUCUUCUUAGCUGCAAUCUUUGCUUCGCACUCGCUUCUUAUCUGCGUAGCAUGCUCACUCUCCUCAACUGUGUCCUGCAUAUGUUCAUCCAAGGUAGAAAGAGCGCCUUUUCGUAUUAUAUUCAUCAACUUGGUCAUGUUCCAAGCAGACACAUUGUCUGUAUUCAUCCUCUGCAACUGAUCAAUCCUUAUCCCUUCACCAUCUCCUUCUUUGUCAGAACCAACCCGAGACAGUCUCUGACCUUUCCCGGCUUUCAUAAAACUCUUAACCGUCGCUUUUAGAGCUGGAGGCAACUUAGCUCCAGCCAGUUUCUCUAAACUCUUAACAUCAUCCGUUACUUUCUGCUCUUCUUCCUCCAUUCUCUGAAUCUCCAUCAAAGGAGGUCCAGAGAGGGUUUCAAUCACGUACUGAGUGAACAAUGAUUCUUGAAUCCUAUCAAAGUAAGUGCUCAUGUGGAAAGAUGAAGCAAGAACCUUGACCAGAAGUGUCUUAAUCAACCAAAUGAUCACAGCAACAAGGAGACAAACCAACACUCUCGUCACGUACCUAAUGGCAGUAGUCCGGGUCUCUCUUUCCACUUUCUUAUCGAACAAGAAGUGCCACGCAAGCAACACGAGCCCUAACCACAAGGUGUUUUGAACAGACUUUCUAACUCCGUAGACGAAAUACAAAACCCUCUUUCUCAAAACGAAGUUCUUCUCGGCCGAGAAGACGAGGAUCCUCACUAUCCAGCUCGAGACUAGUCUCCCGCAAAUCAACACCAAAACCGUCACUUCCCAUUUCCACAGGUCCAGCUUCCACCAUGUCUUGCGCCGCAAGCUAUGUACCGUUAAGCUACAGACCAAACUGGUGACUAUCAGAACUAAACUUAUCCAUUCGAGCAAAACCCAAAUGCUGAGUUUGUCUCUUUUGAACACGUCCGGUAAGUCCUCGUCCAGAAACGGAUCUUCCUCCUCGUCUUCCUCCAGCGUCCCGGUUCGAGAUGGAGUUCCCGGUUUAGGGCUUUUUCCGAGAAAACCGGUUUUCCGACCGGAUCUCAUCUCUGUUUUGUCGAUAGCUGGAUGCGUCGGUGUUGGAGGAUCCAUAAGUCUUGACUUCGUCUGGUUCCUCCUCAGUAACGGUUUCUUCACGACCUCUGCUUCGUCUCUGUUGGCCUUGUAGUGACGGCUCUCCUCGUCGCUGCUCCCACCGAGUGAGAUUCUGUUCUGUCUCCUUCUCACCGCGUCGGCUUUUCCUUUCGCCGUGAACGGAGAAGACCUCCAUGUACUAGAACAGUAUCAAAAAUGUCUUGAACCCCAUUUCAAUCACUAUAUACUUAUUCUUGAAUCACAAAUUACUACUUCCAGAGAAUAGAAAACUGUUACCAAACCACUCAUACAUAUAUAUAUACAUACACAAAAAUCAUAUUCUGCUUGCUUACGCGCAAUGAAAAAUCCCUUACUUCCCUUGCUCAACAAGUCUUUACAGUUCAGGCACCGCGUUGAUGCAAACAAGCUGGAGGCAGACGGUCAGAAGUACCCGGAGUCACCGGAGGGAAACUUUUAAUAUUAAUGCCUUGAGGAUAUAAACGAUACUCAAUAUCAAGCUCUCUACAAGCUUUCCCAACUUCCUCUAGUAAUUGACUUCUCCUUAUAAACCUCUCUCCCAUGUCUUGAAAAUUCAUUCUGUGUGUCAACCACACCGCAAUCUUCACGCUUUUCAAGUCAUCCAUGUUUAGGAACACAAUCAUAGGUGCCGGAUACCAAUGAUCCUUCUUGAAGUCUAUAUAACUGCAUGAAAAAAAAACAAAUGAAAGUUUGGCCUUGAGACUUUAAAGUUUUACGAAUUAGUAUAUAGACAUAGCCUCCUAAAUUGUAAAGAAAAUAUUAUUUUUUUUUACUAAAAUGUCUAUAGCCUCAAGAUCUUAGCGUCUGAAUUUAACUAACCUGAUUAUUCUCUGUUUAAUAGCAGCUAUCUUUUCUGGAGGAGUUGCUAUGUGAACAGAGAAUUCAACCGCAUCUCCCAUAUCAGGACUUCGGAAGUAGUUAGCUAUAGGUUUUGUCCCAAGAACACUAUUCGGGUAUAUGAUCUUUUGAUUAUCGUACCGCAAGAAAACAGUCGUCAAUAUGUUCAUUUCUUCCACAACCAACUGGUAAAAGAAACAACAAGAUUAGAACCAUGUCACAAUAUUUUAAUAAGUCCAGCAGAUUAUUGUAUUAGGAGGGAACAAACCUGAACACCGUCAAUUUCGCAGCGGUCACCAACAUCAAAUGGGUGCAUAACGAAAAGGAAAAUGAUGGCUUCAAAGAUGGUUUUGCAUGAGUUUCCGAAUAUAAAGGCUACUAGAAGUAGCUGAGAGCUUAAGACUAGCAAGAACUUGGUUGUGGCGAUUCCUAGUAUAAGAAGCCAAAUGAUAAUGAUUAUAAUGCUAAUCAACACAUUGAUUAUGCGGUGAAGCCUGUUCACUGCUGUCUUUGUGUCGUUUAAGGUCAAUGCCAGAGCCCUCCGUUCUCUAAAUGCCUUAACCUGUGAAAAAAACGUCAAGAUAACUCUGUUUUGCAUAUGAAAAGAAUCUUGACAUAUAUAUCUAAUUUAGAACUUACCACCCAAUUCUUGAGGCAAGACUUGCUGAUCCUAAGGCUCUCUGAAGCUCCUUCAAAGAGAGCCAUGGCUCUUUCAGACUCCUCUUCAGACAGAAACCGCAAGAAGUCUUCCAUAUGUAUGUACCUAAAACCCGAUAAAAAGAAACUCAAGAUUUAAGCAUAAACCAUACUAAAAUUUUGGAGCUGUAGAUAAUUUAGUAAGAAUUUAAAUAAAUUUUGUUUUAUACAUUUUGAAAAAAUGUUUAUGGAUAUUAACUUUUAAAACAUUGAAGUGAUACGUCAAUGUUUCACUUGUCUAUGCACACUAAUGAUCAACUUCAAGAUAUAUAUACCUGGAACCAGGCUCAGUGACAUUGUGAAAAAUCUUCUUAGCUGCAAUCUUUGCUUCGCACUCGCUUCUUAUCUGCGUAGCAUGCUCACUCUCCUCAACUGUGUCCUGCAUAUGUUCAUCCAAGGUAGAAAGAGCGCCUUUUCGUAUUAUAUUCAUCAACUUGGUCAUGUUCCAAGCAGACACAUUGUCUGUAUUCAUCCUCUGCAACUGAUCAAUCCUUAUCCCUUCACCAUCUCCUUCUUUGUCAGAACCAACCCGAGACAGUCUCUGACCU
rnacentral:lncRNA from 1 species